UUCGACAAGUUGUUCAAUGGGGAGAAUAAAGGCUCUACCAUUGAACUGGACGACUCUUUUGAUGAGACCAGCAUGCGUUCUGUGCGUCGAAUCCAGGAGUCUGAGGUCAAGGAGGCUUUAAAAAGGAUGAAGGAAGGCAAGGCGAUGGGCCCGGAUUGUAUCCCCAUUGAGGUGUGGAAAGGUCUCGGGGACAUAGCGAUAGUAUGGCUAACCAAGCUUUUCAACCUCAUUUUUCGGGCAAACAAGAUGCCAGAAGAAUGGAGACGGAGUAUAUUAGUACCAAUCUUCAAGCACAAGGGGGAUGUUCAGAGUUGUACUAAUUACCGUGGAAUUAAGCUGAUGAGCCAUACAAUGAAGCUAUGGGAGAGAGUCAUUGAGCACCGCUUAAGAAGAAUGACAAGCGUGACCAAAAAUCAGUUUGGUUUCAUGCCUGGGAGGUCGACCAUGGAAGCCAUUUUCUUGGUACGACAGCUUAUGGAGAGAUAUAGGGAGCAAAAGAAGGACUUGCAUAUGGUGUUCAUUGACUUGGAGAAGGCCUAUGAUAAUAUACCGUGGAAUGUCAUGUGGUGGGCCUUGGAGAAACACAAAGUCCCGGCAAAGUACAUUACCCUCAUCAAGGACAUGUACGAUAAUGUUGUGACAAGUGUUCGAACAAGUGAUGUCGACACUGAUGACUUCCCGAUUAAG
rnacentral:rRNA from 1 species